UACGUAGGGCGCAAGCGUUGUCCGGAAUUAUUGGGCGUAAAGAGCUCGUAGGCGGUUUGUCGCGUCUGCUGUGAAAACUGGAGGCUCAACCUCCAGCCUGCAGUGGGUACGGGCAAACUAGAGUGCGGUAGGGGAGAGUGGAAUUCCUGGUGUAGCGGUGGAAUGCGCAGAUAUCAGGAGGAACACCGAUGGCGAAGGCAGAUCUCUGGGCCGUAACUGACGCUGAGGAGCGAAAGCAUGGGGAGCGAACAGG
rnacentral:rRNA from 1 species